rnacentral:rRNA from 1 species
GACGUAGGGCGCGAGCGUUGUCCGGAUUUAUUGGGCGUAAAGAGCUCGUAGGUGGCCAACUAAGUCAUACGUGAAAUCCCUCGGCUUAACCGGGGAACUGCGUCUGAUACUGGAUGGCUUGAGGUUGGGAGAGGGAUGCGGAAUUCCAGGUGUAGCGGUGAAAUGCGUAGAUAUCUGGAGGAACACCGGUGGCGAAGGCGGCAUCCUGGACCAAUUCUGACACUGAGGAGCGAAAGCCAGGGGAGCAAACGGG